CAGCAUCACUUCCCACAUUAUGUCUGUACUAUAACCACCGUCAAGAAGACCAGUAGGGUGGGGGAAGACCAUGGAAAGCAACAGAGAACAAACCACACAUAAGAUCAAAUAAAUGUGAAUCCACUUAGAGAGUGGCAAAGAAGCCAGAUAAUCGCCACAUCUGUAUCAAUCUAGUCAAGUUCUUGGCAUAUUUCACCUACUGUGGGUCAACAGUGUCUGAAUUUUCAAAAUCUGCCUUUUUGAUUCAACUAGUGCCAAAUGCUUACCAACAGAAAACAAGUGCAUGAUUACUGUAGGUAAUACACACGACAGAACAUAAAACAAUUUUCAGCUCUUGCCUUUAGAAGUCAGUAGCAAAUUGUCCCAAGCUGUAAAAUGUGCUGACACGGACAGAGCAGUUAUUUUUGACACAGCGAUAGUCCAUUUAACUAAAGCAUCUUUUGUUUGACUGAACCAGUAUUUAUUUUAGACAUAUUCCUUAAGUAACUACACUGAAGACUGUACAGUCUAACUAAAUAAUUGAUUGCCUUGGUAAAUUUUCUUCCUGAAAUAGCCCAUUCUUUGCUUUCUUACUUUACUAUCUGUCUUUACCAGUGUACGUAAUUUAUUUUUCCUUUUGUAGAUUUGUUUUUAUUCUUUACUGAGCAAUACAUAGUACCAUGUCCUCUUUCUUCUCUGUUGCACACAUUCAUUUGUGAGAAGCAUGGGCUAACUAUUGCUGUAGUGAAACUCUGUUGCAUCUUGGUAGCUCUGUAAGUCUUUGUCCAUUAUAGUGAAGGCAGGGGACUGGACUCAAUGACCUUUCAAGGUCCCUUCCAGCUCCAUGAGAUAGGUAUAUCUCCAUAUAUUUAAAUUUAAUCUUCACUUCCUCACGUACCAGGAAGCUACAUGCUGCUCAAGAGGGGCAUCCACUGGUGCCUCCACAGAGCUGGGAAACACACUUUUAAGCAAGCUGGGUUCUGUGGAAAAAAAGAUAUUUGGCCCAGUAUGUAGUCUGUGGCCCUGUGCACAUGAACUGCUAUCACUGUUGUCCACAACAGAAGGACAGAAUACAGAACCACUUGCUACCUUACCCUUAUCUAUGAGAUUACAUUUCCAGUAGUGAGGAGUACACAUAUACUCAUGAUGCAGCUUUUUCAGUCUCCUCCCUCACCCCACCCACGAUCCACAUUUCUACAGAAAACUCACCAGCCACAGGUUGGGCAGUACCAUUGUACUUAGACCAAAUGUCUCAAUAAGUUAAAGCUAUUUUGCUAUAACAGUAAGUUGACCUCAAAGAGUUGACAGAUUUCUGUAUAUUAAAAUUUUUUCCUCAUA